rnacentral:rRNA from 1 species
AACGAACGCUGGCGGCAGGCCUAACACAUGCAAGUCGAGCGGGGGAGCAAUCCCUAGCGGCGGACGGGUGAGUAACGCGUGGGAACGUACCCUUUGCUUCGGAAUAGCCCCGGGAAACUGGGAGUAAUACCGGACGUGCCCUACGGGGGAAAGAAUUUCGGCAAAGGAUCGGCCCGCGUUGGAUUAGGUAGUUGGUGGGGUAAUGGCCUACCAAGCCGACGAUCCAUAGCUGGUUUGAGAGGAUGAUCAGCCACACUGGGACUGAGACACGGCCCAGACUCCUACGGGAGGCAGCAGUGGGGAAUCUUAGACAAUGGGCGCAAGCCUGAUCUAGCCAUGCCGCGUGAGCGAUGAAGGCCUUAGGGUUGUAAAGCUCUUUCGUGGGGGGAAGAUAAUGACGGUACCCCAAGAAGAAGCCCCGGCUAACUCCGUGCCAGCAGCCGCGGUAAU